GUCGUACAGUCACAUGAAACAUUUUGUUUGUUCGCUGUAGUGAUAUUUUAAUGGCAUCGUUCAUUCGCGUUUUUAUAAACGUACUUACUUUUUCGUUGAUUUACGUGGGUAAAAAAUAAAAAUGCAAAAAGUCGCAGAUGAGAGAAGGGUUAUCCACGUAUCCCAUACAACCAUCACAGUCCGUCAACACUAUCGGCACUUUUUGUUAUUUGCGUUAAUCAAACUCAUUACGAU